rnacentral:lncRNA from 1 species
CCAAGGAAACAAUCAACAGAGUGAAAAGACAAUCUACAGGAUGGGAGAAAAUAUUUGCAAACCAUACCUCUGGAGAUUUGGAUAUUAAGGGUUUACAUCCAAAAACCCCUUACACAUUUGGAUAUUAAGGGGUUAAUAUCCAAAAUAUACGUUUUACAGUGUCUAAAUCAUGUUUAGGCAACUGGAUAUCUACAUGCAAAAGAAUAAAGUUAGAUAAGAAGAAUAAACUUAAGAGAUCUAUCAUACAACAUGGUGACUAUAGUUAAUAACAAUGUAUUAUAUUCUUGAAAAUUGCUAGGAAAGUAGAUUUUAAGUGUUCUCAUCACAAAAAAAUAAGUAUGCGCAGUAAUGCACACAUUAAUUAGGUAGACUUAACCAUUAAACAAUGUGGAAAUGGUGUUUGGGCAACUGGAUAUUUACAUGCAAAGGAAUAAAGUUAGACCCUCAUCUCAUACCAUAUACAAUAAUUAACUAUGUUUUAGAAUAACAUGUUAUACAUGAUAAACAGUUUUUAUGUCAAUUAAAAUAAAUUUUUUAAAAGAGUUAGGGUCAUAAUCUAUGCUAAUUCUCUUGAAUUCAUUCAGAUGUUUAACUUCAUGGUUACUGGCAUUUCUGGGAAUAAUUAUAAUAGAGAAAUGGUCUUGUUAAAAAUUUUAUAUCAAGAAUAUUAACAAAAAACUCUGUUAUUGAUAUACCAAGAAGUAAGUAGACUGCAUGUCUAUUGAAAAUUUCUGUGCAACUUCAUUCUACAGAACCCUCAUUACAUUUGCAACCACCGACCCUUUAUUUCUUUUAUUGAGUGGAGAUUCGAUGCCUUGGUGUCCAGUUGUUUCUGUUGCUGGGACUCUACAAAAUUAUUUUUGUCCCUUCCAUAGUCACAUGAUUCUUCUUCAGGAAAACACAACAUUAUCUUAAGGGUUAGAGUAUUUAUUUCAUAUAUGCUCUUUAUAUCAGAUUCCAUUACUCUAAUAUGAACAUCAAUAGCUGAUUUUUAGCAAAGAUGAUUUUUAUCUUUUAUCAGGUUUAUACUCCUUAACUAACAUGUUGUAAGCAUUUUAUAUGCCAGGCACUAGUGUUAAGCAUCUCUCCAUGGAAUAUUUCAUGUACUUCUCCCUUUAUUUCUAUGAUGCAGGUUUUAGUAACCUCAUUUUCAGCUGAGGAAACUGAGACCCACAAGGAUGAAGUCUCCUGCCUAAGGCUCACAAGUAAAAAGUGGCAAAGCUGGAACUGGAACCCAGGUUUCCUGGGAAUUGGAUGCUGAGAUGAAAAGCAUAUGAGUAGCUUUCUUCCAGCAUUCUUCUUGGUGAUUAACCAACUAUCCAAGUACAAAGUUGCUCCUAAUUAACCCUGAGGACCCCAAUAUAAAGUUGCAAAUGAAAGAAGUCCUGCUACUCUAAAGAAUAACUAAACCAGACUGGAGUCACUGAAACUGAUGGAAGAACAUCUCAGGCAUGAGUGCCAUGGUGACGUCAUCAGCUCCGUUCACAACCACUCACCAUGAGGCCAUUGCUCCUGUGGAGGACACUGGCUUAGGACUCAUGAAGUAGUACCUCAGGAAGGUGUCUCUGUAAGUGUUCCUUCCACCAGCUCCAAGACACAAUGAGAUGGAGAGAACUGGAACAAUUCCCUAUGAUUGCAGCUGGAUAUUUUCACAUGAACUAUCUAGUAAUGAAGGCAAUGGCAUGUGGUGUGGCAAAGACUGGCCCCAGAUUACAUUUCCAGUCCUUUUGUACUGAGGAGGGGCUUUGGGACCAAGACAGUAGGAGUGAGGGUACAGGUUCCACAUUCUAUUUCUCUCUUAGUUUUCUGUGGUUAUCUUGGUGACUGCAUGGUAAAGAUGGAGGUGACAAAAGAUGGAAGGAGCCUGGAUCCCUGAAUGACUUCAUGGUGCAGAGCCUUACACUACCCCCAACUCAUACUAAAACAGGGGUGGGAGGAACAAUAGACCAUUAUUCUGUUAAGGUGCUGAAAUUGUAGAGCUGUUAAUUUGAACAGUUAGAGUUUCUUAUACUGAUACAGUAUCCUUACCCUGGAUUGUUGAAAUAAUUAGUCCAAAUAGUUUCUUUGCCUAAAACUGUGGACAGAGCCUAAGCAAUAUUGAAUCCAAGACAAGGUAUAUUUAUCAUCAAAUGCUACUCACUAUACAAUACAGAUGAAUGUGGCACUUACUUCCCGUGUUGUUACCCAGCCUGCUUCUAGUAUUCUUUACACAAAAUAACAUUCAUGAGCAACCUGG